AUUGAACGCUGGCGGAAUGCUUUACACAUGCAAGUCGAACGGCAGCACGGACUUCGGUCUGGUGGCGAGUGGCGAACGGGUGAGUAAUGUAUCGGAACGUGCCCAGUCGUGGGGGAUAACGUAGUGAAAAUUACGCUAAUACCGCAUACGAUCUAUGGAUGAAAGCGGGGGAUCGCAAGACCUCGCGCGAUUGGAGCGGCCGACAUCAGAUUAGGUAGUUGGUGGGGUAAAGGCCCACCAAGCCAACGAUCUGUAGCUGGUCCGAGAGGACGACCAGCCACACUGGAACUGAGACACGGUCCAGACUCCUACGGGAGGCAGCAGUGGGGAAUUUUGGACAAUGGGCGAAAGCCUGAUCCAGCCAUUCCGCGUGCAGGAUGAAGGCCCUCGGGUUGUAAACUGCUUUUGUACAGAACGAAAAGGUUUCUACUAAUACUAGGAGCUCAUGACGGUACUGUAAGAAUAAGCACCGGCUAACUACGAGCCAGCCGCCGCAGUAA
rnacentral:rRNA from 1 species